rnacentral:lncRNA from 1 species
CAAGGGAAGGUCAUGCCUGACCAAUCUGGUGGCCUUCUAUGAUGGAGUGAUGACAUCACUGGACAAAGGUUGGAAUUGGUUGGAAGAUUAUCAGGGCUGGAACACCUCUCCUAUGAAGACGGGUUGAAGGAGCUGGGCUUGUUCAGUCUGGAGAAGAGAAGACUGCAGGGAGACCUCAUUACAGGCUUCCAGUAUUUAAAGGAAGCAACUGUGGGUGCCCCGUCCCUGGAGGCGUUCAAGGCCAGGUUGGAUGGGGCCCUGCACAGCCUGAGCUGGUGGGAGCAACCAGCCCAUGGCAGAGGAUGGGGCUGGGUGGGGCUUUGAGUUCCAUUCUGACCCAAGCCAUUCUGUGAUUCUAUGACAUUGUUUGGCAGUGUCACACAAGGUGUCCCUGCCACUGAAGCUCUCUGCUCCUGACCUCUGCACCCAGGCCAGCCUCUCACUGGAGUCCUGCCUUGGCCUGCUCCCCACCUUGCUCCAAUGGCAGGGAGUCUACAAUUGGUGUACCUGAGGUGCCAGCUGUCAAAGUUGCAGGAUACAGCAGUAUCUCUUUCCAGGAAGACAGGGCAGAACUGGCUGGAAGGAAGUGAUAAAAGACAUCGGAGAGCCAAGAUCUUGUUGAUACUCAAUUGAAUAAAAUGACAAAUUACCUUCUAAGGCAGGGUCAGGGUUCACUGAAUCCAUUAAUUUUCAUGUGUUUCUCACCGCCUUCAAAAAGUCACCUUCUUUCCCCAUUCAGAUGGCAGAUGACUGUGCAUUGGCAGGAACAAAAGGAAGUCUGGUGAAAUAACUCACUAAUUUUAAGAGCACGACCUGGCAGGAUCAACAAAGUGAAAACAGAAGACAGCAGCCAAA